rnacentral:rRNA from 1 species
UACGUAGGGGCCGAGCGUUGUCCGGAGUUAUUGGGCGUAAAGGGCGCGUAGGCGGCCCCUUAAGUCAAAGGUGAAAUCCCUCGGCUCAACUGAGGAACUGCCUUUGAAACUGAUGGGCUUGAGGCCGGGAGGGGGUAGCGGAAUUCCCAGUGUAGCGGUGAAAUGCGUAGAUAUUGGGAGGAACGCCAGUGGCGAAGGCGGCUACCUGGACCGGUUCUGACGCUGAUGCGCGAAAGCGUGGGGAGCAAACAGG